UGGGGAAUUUUGGACAAUGAGGGAAACCCUGAUCCAGCCAUCCCGCGUGUGCGAUGAAGGCCUUCGGGUUGUAAAGCACUUUUGGCAGGAAAGAAACGUCGCGGGUUAAUACCCCGCGGAACUGACGGUACCUGCAGAAUAAGCACCGGCUAACUACGUGCCAGCAGCCGCGGUAAUACGUAGGGUGCAAGCGUUAAUCGGAAUUACUGGGCGUAAAGCGUGCGCAGGCGGUUCGGAAAGAAAGAUGUGAAAUCCCAGAGCUUAACUUUGGAAACUGCAUUUUUAACUACCGGGCUAGAGUGUGUCAGAGGGAGGUGGAAUUCCGCGUGUAGCAGUGAAAUGCGUAGAUAUGCGGAGGAACACCGAUGGCGAAGGCAGCCUCCUGGGAUAACACUGACGCUCAUGCACGAAAAGCGUGGGGAGCAAACAGGAUUAGAUACCCUGGUAGUCCACGCCCUAAAACGAUGUCAACUAGCUGUUGGGGUCUUCGAACCUUGGUAGCGCAGCUAACGCGUGAAGUUGACCGCCUGGGGAGUACGGUCGCAAGAUU
rnacentral:rRNA from 1 species